rnacentral:rRNA from 1 species
AUUGAACGCUGGCGGCAGGCCUAACACAUGCAAGUCGAGCGGAUGAAGGGAGCUUGCUCCUGGAUUCAGCGGCGGACGGGUGAGUAAUGCAUAGGAAUCUGCCUGGUAGUGGGGGAUAACGUCCGGAAACGGGCGCUAAUACCGCAUACGUCCUGAGGGAGAAAGUGGGGGAUCUUCGGACCUCACGCUAUCAGAUGAGCCUAGGUCGGAUUAGCUAGUUGGUGGGGUAAAGGCCUACCAAGGCGACGAUCCGUAACUGGUCUGAGAGGAUGAUCAGUCACACUGGAACUGAGACACGGUCCAGACUCCUACGGGAGGCAGCAGUGGGGAAUAUUGGACGAUGGGCGAAAGCCUGAUCCAGCCAUGCCGCGUGUGUGAAGAAGGUCUUCGGAUUGUAAAGCACUUUAAGUUGGGAGGAAGGGCAGUAAGUUAAUACCUUGCUGUUUUGACGUUACCAACAGAGUAAGCACCGGCUAACUUCGUG